CGAGUCCUCGAUGAUGUAAGCGGAACCGUCCGGGUUGUAGACGAUCUUGCCGGAGAACUGCUCCACGUCCGAGGUGU